rnacentral:rRNA from 1 species
UAUGUAUCAUAUACUCUGAAUGUGUCAUAGAAUGUUCAUGUUGCCUUAAAACGCAAUCAAAUACAACUUUCAACAACGGAUCUCUUGGCUCUCGCAUCGAUGAAGAACGCAGCGAAAUGCGAUAAGUAAUGUGAAUUGCAGAUUUUCAGUGAAUCAUCGAAUCUUUGAACGCACCUUGCGCUCCUUGGUAUUCCGAGGAGCAUGCCUGUUUGAGUGUCAUUAAAUUCUCAACCCCACCGAUUUGCUUCGGGGGGAUUGGACUUGGAGCGUGCUGGCGAAGGUCGGCUCCUCUUUAAAUGCAUCAGUGGAGAGAAACUUGCCCCAGUGUGAUAAUCCUGUUGCGCUGUGGUGGGUGAAAGUCUGCUUCCAACCGUCCCUCCGGGGACAUAUGUCAUCUUAUUUUGACCUCAAAUCAGGUAGGACUACCCGCUGAACUUAAGC